UCCAGCGCGCCAUGGGCUCGUGCCUGACCGCUGGAGCGGGACGAGACGCCGCCCAACCGCGCCAUCACGGACGCCCUGGACGAGCUCAAGGAGGAGGCAUUGAAGCUGCGCAAUCUGGUGGCCAACAGUGUGGCGCUGGUGGAGGAGAAGUGCUCGGCGCUGCUGGCCGACCCGCACGGCACCUCCCUGGCCGCCCGCUGUCGCGAGGUCGUCCAGCAGUGCUUCAAGUUCUCCUUCGAGUACCACAAGGAG